NNNNNNNNNNNNNGGCACCUCAGCCUGUUGGGCCUUCGGGUCAACUGGGAAAAGAGCAAACUCUUGCCAACGCAGAGGAUCUCUUUUCUCGGUAUGGAGUUGGAUUCGGUCGAACAGACAGCACGCCUCACAGAGGAACGUGCGCGGUCGGUGCUAGCCUGCUUGAAUACAUUCAAGAGCAGGACAGCGGUCCCACUGAAACUCUUUCAGAGGCUCCUGGGGCAUAUGGCGGCCGCAGCGGCACUUACACCGCUCGGCCUGUUACAUAUGAGACCGCUCCAGCACUGGCUUUAUGGCCGAGUCCCGAGGUGGGCGUGGAAGCGCGGCACUCACCGGGUCCAAGUUACACCGGCCUGUCGCCAAACCCUCACCCCGUGGUCAGAUCUUGCGUUUCUCAGGGCAGGGGUGCCCCUAGAGCAGAUCUCCAGGCAUGCUGUGGUUUACACGGAUGCCUCCACCACCGGCUGGGGGGCCACGUACAACGGGCAUGCAGUCUCAGGGGUUUGGACGGGCCCGCAGCUGCAGUGGCACAUCAAUUGCCUAGAGUUGUUAGCAGUGCACCUUGGCUUGAACCGUCUCAAAGGUCACUUACGAGGCAAGCAUGUGCUGGUCCGAACGGACAACACGGCGACUGUAGCAUACAUCAACCGACAAGGUGGUCUGCACUCCCGUCGCAUGUCACAACUCGCCCGCCACCUCCUCCUUUGGAGUCGGAAGGUUCUGAGGUCUCUUCGUGCUGUGCACGUUCCAGGCCUGCUCAACCGUACAGCCGACGAGCUGUCUCGAGCAAUGCUCCCGGGAGAAUGGCGACUCCAUCCCCUGACGGUCCAGCUGAUUUGGAGACGGUUCGGAGCCGCUCAGGUAGACCUGUUUGCUUCUCCAGAGACCGCUCACUGCCAGUUGUUCUACUCCCUGACCGAGGGAACUCUCGGCUCGGACGCACAGGCACACAGCUGGCCGCGGGGCCUACGCAAGUAUGCGCUUCCCCCAGUGAGCCUUCUUGCACAGACACUGUGCAAAGUCCGGGAGGACGAGGAGCAAGUCUUGCAAGUGGCGCCGUAUUGGCCCACGCGGACCUGGUUCCCCGAACUAGUGCUCCUCGCAACAGCCCCUCCUUGGCCGAUUCCUCUGAGGAAGGAUCUACUGACUCAGAGACGG
ensembl:lncRNA